rnacentral:misc_RNA from 1 species
UGGACCGUGGUUCUAUUAACAAAGUGAUGCUGUUAGAGAAUUCAAUUGCCAGGGCUCACUCAAACCAAUUUGGAAGCAAACAGUUGAUGCAUGCUUCAGCUUUACCAAUACUGUCUCAAUCUGUACAUAUCCUACAUAUUCUAGUAUCUUUUAUAGGCCUCUUUGAGAAUCAAUCAAACCUAUUAACUUCAGCAAAUAAAAACUGAGCCAACAAAACAACUGGCAUCAACAGAUUAUAAGUAGAAGAAUGCUAAAUUGUAAAGAAAAGGUUUUCCACCUCGAGAAAAAGGUAGGAUACAAUGUCUACAACCCAUUCUAACAAAUGAUCCCAGCCAAGUGAUGACUUAAGCCAAGCAAAUAGUCAUUGGUGGAGAUGAAUUGGUACAGAGGUGAAAGCACCAACAGAGGGCGGAAAAAAGAAUGCUCAAAAGCAAGCCAACUUUGUUUGAAAUGACCAAAAUCUUUGUCACCGAGGAACUGCAAAAUCUUGAGAAAGCCAGGCUCCAGCAAGAGGAAUCAACAGCAAUGCUGGAUUUGAGCCGAGCAUUGGCAAUAGCACUGUGAAGCGGCAUAAACGACUCCAAACUCCCAAAAACCGAUAGAACCCUUGAAGGAUUGGAGACAACUCGUGUUGAUGGCGAAGAGAAAGGAGAGGAAAUAGAUUUUGCCCUUAGGGUUUUCUGGGAUAGGUUUCUGGACCGAGACGCCAUGGACCUUGUGCCUGCCACUAUAGCUGAUCUACAAAACGAGGCCAUUUUCUGUGCCCAGAGGACAAG